UCAGGGUGAAUAUGACGGUGAAGACAAAGAAAUGAAUGAAAGAAAGCUGCUGUAUCAAGAAUGGGCACGAUAUGGAUCGUUUUACAAGUUUCAGCCUAUUGAUCUUGUAAGAAAGUAUUUUGGAGAAAAAAUUGGAAUGUAUUUUGCCUGGCUGGGCUUGUACACAGAGUUUCUUAUUCCAUCCUCGGUAGUUGGAAUCAUCGUGUUCCUGUACGGAUGCUUAACCAUUGAAAGUGACGU